rnacentral:rRNA from 1 species
CCUACGGGCGGCAGCAGUGAGGAAGAUUGGUCAAUGGACGAGAGUCUGAACCAGCCAAGUAGCGUGAAGGAUGACUGCCCUAUGGGUUGUAAACUUCUUUUAUAAAGGAAUAAAACGAGGCACGUGUGCCUGUUUGCAUGUACUGUAUGAAUAAGGAUCGGCUAACUCCGUGCCAGCAGCCGCGGUAAUACGGAGGAUCCGAGCGUUAUCCGGAUUUAUUGGGUUUAAAGGGAGCGUAGAUGGGUUGUUAAGUCAGUUGUGAAAGUUUGCGGCUCAACCGUAAAAUUGCAAUUGAUACUGGCAGUCUUGAGUACAGUUGAGGUAGGCGGAAUUCGUGGUGUAGCGGUGAAAUGCUUAGAUAUCACGAAGAACCCCGAUUGCGAAGGCAGCUUACUAAACUGUGCCUGACAUUGAUGCUCGAAAGUGUGGGUAUCAAACAGGAUUAGAUACCCCAGUAGUC